UACGAAGGGGGCUAGCGUUGCUCGGAAUCACUGGGCGUAAAGGGUGCUUAGGCGGGUCUUUAAGUCAGGGGUGAAAUCCUGGAGCUCAACUCCAGAACUGCCUUUGAUACUGAGGAUCUUGAGUUCGGGAGAGGUGAGUGGAACUGCGAGUGUAGAGGUGAAAUUCGUAGAUAUUCGCAAGAACACCAGUGGCGAAGGCGGCUCACUGGCCCGAUACUGACGCUGAGGCACGAAAGCGUGGGGAGCAAACAGG
rnacentral:rRNA from 1 species